UACACUCCUACGGGAGGCAGCAGUGGGGAAUAUUGCACAAUGGGCGCAAGCCUGAUGCAGCCAUGCCGCGUGUGUGAAGAAGGCCUUCGGGUUGUAAAGCACUUUCAGCGGGGAGGAAGGCGAUACGGUUAAUAACCGUGUUGAUUGACGUUACCCGCAGAAGAAGCACCGGCUAACUCCGUGCCAGCAGCCGCGGUAAUACGGAGGGUGCAAGCGUUAAUCGGAAUUACUGGGCGUAAAGCGCACGCAGGCGGUCUGUCAAGUCGGAUGUGAAAUCCCCGGGCUCAACCUGGGAACUGCAUUCGAAACUGGCAGGCUUGAGUCUUGUAGAGGGGGGUAGAAUUCCAGGUGUAGCGGUGAAAUGCGUAGAGAUCUGGAGGAAUACCGGUGGCGAAGGCGGCCCCCUGGACAAAGACUGACGCUCAGGUGCGAAAGCGUGGGGAGCAAACAGGAUUAGAAACCCGAGUAGUCCC
rnacentral:rRNA from 1 species